rnacentral:rRNA from 1 species
AUGCAAAUGGGGGCUAAUGUUAUGCAACAUAAAUUGGGUAGUGCUAGUGGCUCUAGAUAUGAGGAUACAACUGGUAGAGGAGGAGAUGCUCAGCUGAAGAAAUGGAAUGGAAAUCAAUUUCCUACUCCCGGUGGAGGAGAACAUAUACAAAUGAGCAGCCAUGAUAGAGAGAAUAUAAGUCUCAGAGCAGAUCAAGAAGGUGGAAAGGUUGGUUUUGGUGGUGCAGGCAAAAUGAUGUGUAAUAAAUGCAAAGACACCAGACAUGCUACAAAAGACUGCACUUCAGGUCACUGUGUAAUAUAUGGGAAGAAAACCACAUUACUGAUGAGUGUACUUGGCUGA